rnacentral:rRNA from 1 species
AGUGAACGCUGGCGGUAGGCCUAACACAUGCAAGUCGAACGGCAGCACAGGAGAGCUUGCUCUCUGGGUGGCGAGUGGCGGACGGGUGAGGAAUACAUCGGAAUCUACCUUUUCGCGGGGGAUAACGUAGGGAAACUUACGCUAAUACCGCAUACGACCUACGGGUGAAAGUGGGGACCGCAAGGCCUCACGCGAUUAGA